GGACUCAAAAUCCGUUGGCUUUUUAGACCGUGAGGGUUCAAGUCCCUCUACCCCCA
rnacentral:tRNA from 1 species